UCCCAGUCUGAUCUCACUAACACUAGUCACUACACUCUACAGUAACACUUCAGUCAUGUCAGUCAUGUCUAGCCACACAUUCAGCGGUUGAACCUAUUGAAGUUUAUACGAGUCAGUACUGUACGGCAGUGCGCGUUUUACUCCAGCCUGUCCUAGCUGGACGG